rnacentral:tRNA from 1 species
UUUUUUGUGGCCGAGGUUUCAGGCUGGAGAUUUUUAAUCUUCCCACGGGCUUUAGGGCCCCUUGCGU